GACGAACGCUGGCGGCGUGCUUAACACAUGCAAGUCGAACGAAGUGGCGAACGGGUGAGUAACGCGUCAUCAACCUGCCCUUCAGAGGGGGCCAACAGUUGGAAACGACUGCUAAUACCUCAUACUGAAGGAGGGGAUUGCGUCUGAUUAGCUAGUUGGAGGGGUAACGGCCCACCAAGGCGAUGAUCAGUAGCCGGUCUGAGAGGAGGAACGGCCACAUUGGGACGUAGACACGGCCCAGACUCCGACGGGAGGCAGCAGUGGGGAAUCUUCCGCAAUGGACGAAAGUCUGACGGAGCAACGCGGCGUGAGUGAUGACGGCCUUCGGGUUGUAAAGCUCUGUUAAUCGGGACGCGGUACCGGAAUAGAAAGCAACGGCUAACUACGUGCCAGCAGCCGCGGUAAUAC
rnacentral:rRNA from 1 species